rnacentral:rRNA from 1 species
CUUCUCGCUGACGAGCGGCGGACGGGUGAGUAAUACUUAGGAAUCUACCUAGUAGUGGGGGAUAGCUCGGGGAAACUCGAAUUAAUACCGCAUACGACCUACGGGAGAAAGGGGGCAACUUGUUGCUCUCGCUAUUAGAUGAGCCUAAGUCGGAUUAGCUAGAUGGUGGGGUAAAGGCCUACCAUGGCGACGAUCUGUAGCUGGUCUGAGAGGAUGAUCAGCCACACCGGGACUGAGACACGGCCCGGACUCCUACGGGAGGCAGCAGUGGGGAAUAUUGGACAAUGGGGGCAACCCUGAUCCAGCCAUGCCGCGUGUGUGAAGAAGGCCUUUUGGUUGUAAAGCACUUUAAGCAGUGAAGAAGACUCCAUGGUUAAUACCCAUGGACGAUGACAUUAGCUGCAGAAUAAGCACCGGCUAACUCUGUGCCAGCAGCCGCGGUAAUACAGAGGGUGCAAGCGUUAAUCGGAAUUACUGGGCGUAAAGCGAGCGUAGGUGGCUUGAUAAGUCAGAUGUGAAAGCCCCGGGCUUAACCUGGGAACGGCAUCUGAUACUGUUAGGCUAGAGUAGGUGAGAGGAAGGUAGAAUUCCAGGUGUAG